UGUGGAAUAGUGUAAGAUGCACAUGAAAUUUUGAUUUUCAAAGGUUAAGUUUAAUUCUUAAUUCUUCAA
rnacentral:tRNA from 1 species